CCCUUAGAUGUUCUGGGCCGCACACGCGCUACACUGAAGGAGGCAGCGUGUACUCCUGGAUCGAAAGAUUUGGGUAACCCGCGAAUCUCCUUCGUGCUAGGGAUUGAGGUUUGCAAUUAUCCUUCAUGAACGAGGAAUUCCCAGUAAGUGCAAGUCAUAAGCUUGCGUUGACUACGUCCCUGCCCUUUGUACACACCGCCCGUCGCUACUACCGAUUGAAUGAUUUAGUGAGGACUUCGGACUGGGACCGAUGCGGCUUUCGGGCUGCGUCGGUAUUCUGGAAAGAUGUCCAAACUGUAUCAUUUAGAGGAAGUAAAAGUCGUANCA
rnacentral:rRNA from 1 species